rnacentral:rRNA from 1 species
GACGAACGCUGGCGGCGUGCCUAAUACAUGCAAGUCGGGCGAAUCUUUAGGAGCUUGCUCCUGAAGGUUAGCGGCGGACGGGUGAGUAACACGUGGGCAACCUGCCUGUAAGACUGGGAUAACACCGGGAAACCGGUGCUAAUACCGGAUAAUUCUUUUCUUCACAUGAGGGAAAGCUGAAAGUCGGUUUCGGCUGACACUUACAGAUGGGCCCGCGGCGCAUUAGCUAGUUGGUGAGGUAACGGCUCACCAAGGCGACGAUGCGUAGCCGACCUGAGAGGGUGAUCGGCCACACUGGGACUGAGACACGGCCCAGACUCCUACGGGAGGCAGCAGUAGGGAAUCUUCCGCAAUGGACGAAAGUCUGACGGAGCAACGCCGCGUGAGUGAUGAAGGCCUUCGGGUCGUAAAACUCUGUUGUUAGGGAAGAACAAGUAUCGGAGUAACUGCCGGUACCCUGACGGUACCUAACCAGAAAGCCACGGCUAACUACGUGCCAGCAGCCGCCGCCGUAA